GGCAGCUCUGGAAACAGAGGAAUGGAGUUGUCUUCUGUGAGGAACACAUGAUAUUGAGGCAAAUGCUGAUGGCCUGCAAGACAGACGUGGCGUUGUGGCGUUGCCGGGUGAAGCCAUCAAAAGCUUCCGUGUGCGAUGCAUGGUGUAAUUUAUUUUCUACGGCAAUGUAAACCUCAAGAUGUAAAGCAUCUCUAAAACUCUAUCAUGUGGGUCGGUAUGGGCUAUUUUAAUGAAUCAGGUGCAGGAUUCUCCCCCCUCCCUAUAACAUUAAAAAAAACAUUGAUUUUGGAUGUAGGCCAAUAAGCACCGUCCCGUCCUGUCGGUAGGCCUCCAGAAUGAUCCAAAUCAAGAACUUGCAGUUGUGUCUCAUCUGAAUAUGUUUGACCACCACAUCUUUGACAAGCACAUUAUUGUAAGUUUAACAAGUAAGAAGAAGAUAUUUGACUACACUAUUUCUCAAACCAAACACAGUUUUAUAUUUUCAAAUGCUCGUAGCUAGUUGUACAAUAUGUAAAACAAUCUGGAUAUGGCAUCGUUGUGUAUUAUUCUAAGAUAAUCAAAUAAGGACAAUGCAUGAUGUCUUAAUUCUAUGUACAAGUUGUGAGGGAUAAGAUGGUGACGGAGCCUAUUCUAUUUCAUAAACCAAUCUAUACCUAUUUAUAAAGUGAGCAAGGUUUUUGUUCCAAUUUUUUAUUUGGUCCAAUUUUUACCAUUGAUAUGUGGGUCCAAUUUCGAUGUAUGUCAUGGAAAGGUGGGCCCUUGGUCCAGUGACUCAUCCAAUUAUUUUCCUACCCACACACUUCUUGUAUGGUAUUAUCCACUAGUAUAUUGUGAAAGUCUCUACAAAGACGAAAGGACCCCAUGCCUUCUUUGAAAACGAUAUCCUCUUCAAUGCUUCCACUAGCCCUAAACUUGGAAUACUCUGCUUAAGAGAUCCCCCUCUCCGGCCCGAGAAGAUUUGAGUAGAACAUUCUCUACUCUAAGCAAGACUCCUCCAUGUUGAAGCUCAAUUGGUUUCCUCCUCAAAUACGGCACAACCCUACCCAAAGCACAAAUCUGGGAUGGAGGAGCAGAUUGGAUAAAACAAGAAGAGAGAUGGGCGGCAGGUGCUCAGCAACAGGCGGUGGUCCUAAGAUGAGAACGUCGCUUAAUGGCAAGAGGCUUGCAAAAAGAGGUGGUCGUAGUGCAUCUGUAGACGUCGUGGAUACCAGCGUGCAUGCCCAACGAGACUCGCCAUGUUGCCAGCAUCUCUACUCC
rnacentral:lncRNA from 1 species